rnacentral:lncRNA from 1 species
GACAGAGUCUUGGUGCGGUUUUCAGGACUUCCGGUUUGUUCGGUAAUCGGUUUUGGGAAACCGAUCUCCGUGGGAUUGUCUGUGGGUUGUGUAUUCAGUGGUUUUGUGGGGUUAUGCUGUUAGGGUUUCUUAGUUGUGGGUUAGACACUAACCCAGUGGACCCUCCUUAGGUCCUGUUGACGUUCUUUUGCAGUCAGGAGACAGGCGCGACAGUUGUACAGGUGGGUACUUCGAUCCGACGUCGGUACAGUGGUGCACACUCGGUGAUGGUUUCUUACCUUUG